GGGCGAUUAGUUUAAUGGUUAGAACGGGUAACUCAUAAUUACACAAGUAUGGGUUCAAAUCCCAUAUCGCCCA
rnacentral:tRNA from 1 species